GGGUCGGGAAGCUGCAGGUGCGGAGGGGCAUGGGCACGAGGGCCAGGCUGGGGAGGGUGGGGUCCUGGCUGGGCCAGGCCCGCCCUGAGUCCCCCAGCAGGUGCUCCAUGCUGGCUUACACCCUCUGCCUCUCUCUCUUCCUUCCUGGCCCCGACCC
rnacentral:miRNA from 1 species